rnacentral:rRNA from 1 species
CCUACGGGAGGCAGCAGUGGGGAAUCUUGCGCAAUGGGCGAAAGCCUGACGCAGCAACGCCGCGUGCGGGAAGAAGGCUUUCGGGCUGUAAACCGCUUUCAGCAGGAACGAAAAUGACGGUACCUGCAGAAGAAGGAGCGGCCAACUAUGUGCCAGCAGCCGCGGUGAUACAUAGGCUUCAAGCGUUGUCCGGAUUUAUUGGGCGUAAAGAGUUCGUAGGCGGUCGAGUAAGUCGGGUGUGAAAAUUCUGGGCUCAACCCAGAGACGCCACCCGAUACUGCUUAACUUGAGUUCGAUAGGGGAGUGGGGAAUUCCUAGUGUAGCGGUGAAAUGCGCAGAUAUUAGGAGGAACACCGGUGGCGAAGGCGCCACUCUGGAUCGAUACUGACGCUGAGGAACGAAAGCAUGGGUAGCAAACAGGAUUAGAUACCCUGGUAGUCCAUGCCGUAAACGGUGGGCACUAGGUGUGGGAUUCUAUUAACGAAUUCCGCGCCGUCGCUAACGCAUUAAGUGCCCCGCCUGGGGAAGUCGGUCGCAAGACUAAAACUCAAAUGAAUUGACGGCUGAGACGNGCGAGACGACGACGAGGAGAG